AGGAUCAGCAUGACUGUAGUGUUCCUGGCUUAACCCUGAGAGGUUGCUGUUCCCAGUGACUAUCUAGGCUGAAGCCCAUGUAGGAUUUGAAGAGACUGAUCCAGGCUUUAUGAGUGGCUGCGACCAUGCUGUAUGUGUGUAUGUGUGUGUGUACACCGCCUAAGUGUGUUCAUUUCAGCCACAGCAAGAGUUAUGUUACAAGGAUAGCAUAGACAGCCCUGCCUAUUGCAAGAGUAAUGCAUCAGGUGUGAAACAGAUCUUUAAUGCUGUGUGAAGCAGGCUCUUUUAAGGUCAGCCAGACUUUCUGGGGAAAAAGAAACUAUUGCCUAACCCUUCAGGUCAUGGAGACUUAUGUUUUUGUGUUUUUCUCGCAGUUUUACAGUUUUAGCACCUACAUUUAAGUCUUUGAUCCCUUUUGUGUUCAUUUUUAUGGAUAGUGAGAAGUAGGGGUUCAAAUCCAUUUUUUUUUUCAUCUAGAUAUUCAGUUGUCCCAGAAUCAUUUGUUGAAAAAGCUCUUCUUUCCCCCAUUGAAUUGUCUUAGCACAUUUUUCAAACAUUACCCAACCACAAAUGUAAGGAUUUAUUUUUGGACACUCAGUUCUAUUUAACUGAUCUAAAUCUCUAUCCUUAUGGAAGUACCACUCUGUCUUGAUUAUUGUAGCUUUGUAGCAAGUUUUAAAAUUGGGAAGUGUGAGUCUUCUCACUUUGUUCUUCUUCUUUCAAAGUUGUAUUUGUUAUUUUGGGCCCUUUGCAUUUCUAUGUGAAUUUUGGGAUCAGCUUGUCCGUUUUUGCAAAAAGAAAAAAAAGGCAGUCAGGAUUUUGAUAGAGAUUGUGUUGAAUCUGUAGACUGAUUUGGGGAAAAUUGCCAUCAUCACAGUAUUAAUUCUUCUGGUCUAUGAAUGCAGGAUUUCUUUCCACUUAUUUAGGUCAUCUUUAAUAUAUCUGAACACUGUUCUGCAGUUUUUAGUGCACAGUUUUGUAUUUCUUUUGUUAAAUUCUCCUAAGUAUAUUUUAUGCUACUGUAAAUGGAAUUGUUUUCUUAUUUUAAUUUUCAGGGGAAAGUAAGAAAAUGGUCGGUCAUCACCUUCAGUCAUCAUCUCAGAUAGUGGGAUCAUGCUUGACUUUCCUUUAAGUUUUCUUUUUAAAACUGCAUUCUUCUUUUUUCCUUUUUUUUUUUUUUUUUGAGUCGCACAGGCUGGAGUUCAUUGCUAGUGUGUAGAAAUACAGUUGAUUUUUGUAUAUUGAUUUUGCACCCUGUAACCUUGCUGAACUCAUUUGUUAGCUUUCUGUGGAUUCUUCAGGAUUUUCUGUACUCAAAUUCAUGUCACCUGUGAAUAGAUGAUUUUACUUCCUUUCCGAUCUGGAUGCCUUUUCUUUCUUUUCCUUGCCUAAUUACCCUGGCCAAACCCUCCAGUGCAAGAUUCAGUAGAAGUCGUGAGAGCAGAUAUGCUUCUCUGGUUCCUGAUGUUGGGGGGAGGCAUUUCAUCUUUUACCUUUAAGGAUGUUUGUUGUGGGUUUUUGCUUGAUGCCUUUUAACUGUAAUCAGGUUGUGGAAAUUCCCUUGUAUUCCCAGUCUGUUGAGUGUUUUUAUCAUGAAAGGGUGUUGGAUUUUGUCAAAUGCUCUUUUCUGCAUCUCUUGAAAUGGUCAUGUGGUUUUUGUUCUUUAUUAAUAUACAGAUAAGUGUAUUACCUUGAUUAAUUUUCAUAUCCAAAGCAGCCUAGCGUUCCUCCUGAGAACUUCCAUGUCUCAAGUACAACUUUCAUUUUACAAUGACCCCCCUUGCUGUUGGGGCCACACCACCUUACAACUUGCCCAGCUCAGGAUGGCAAUUCUGACUGCAUGAUCGCUUGAUAUGUCUUGACCAGAUGCUCGGUUCUGACCAGAGCUCGGUAGCACACCUGGGGUGCUUUGUGGAUGAUGUGUGGUUCUUUGCGGGAGCUUGCAUGGCCUUGUUGUAGAACUCUAAGGGUUUUCAUAGUGACUCUCCUACAGGGGCUUGUCAGAAAGUCCAUAUGGUUCCUUUUUGGACCACAGAUAACUCUAGGGCUGUGAGAUCUGCUAGGUAUUGGGGUGCAGGCAUCGGGGCUGUUUGUACUGCAGCCUGGACUUGCUACAGAAUCCAUUAACUAACUGCUCACCCCAGUCAGAGCCAUCAGCUUUCCGUGUCUCUAGGUAAACAGAUUCAAGCAGUGUGACAAGCAUGGAAUAUGCUGCUUUCCAUAGACCUGUCAAGCAUUGCGUUUUGUUCUUAAUGGUACAAUGUACAAAAUGCAGUGUCUUGUUCUUUAUUUUUGAGAGGAUGCUGUAUCAUGUCUCAGACGACUGGAUUCCUAAAAACUCCCCAAAUGAAGCAGGUCCAAUUAGUAUGGUGUCACCAAUAUAUGGAUCCAUGCGAUUGAUUAUCUGUGGAGUGUCCGGAUGGUCCAGGACCCUUCAGAUUAUAUUACGAUGGAGAACAGGAAAAUUAACCAAAACCUGGGCAAGACUGCGAAUGUGUGCUACUAUCCAUCCCAGUUCUGGAGGCCGGAGUUGGAAAUCAGUUUCACUGGGCACACAUGGAGGUGUUUGAAGGGCUGCCCGUGCCAGAGGCUCUCAGGGAGAAUCCCUUCCUUGUCUGUUCCAGCUCUACCUCCUCCUCUGCUGUGUGAGUAAAACCUCCCUCGGCCUCUUUGAUUAGGAUAAGGUGUAUUUAGUGUCUAGCAGGACAAUCCAGGAAAUUCUUCCCAUCUCAAGAUCCCUAACUUGAUCCCUUCUGCAAAGACCUGCUUUCACUCCCAUCUGCAAACACCAUUUCCGGGUUCCAGGGAUAAGCCCUGACAUCUGUGGGUGGCCGUUAUUCAGUUACCGACAGUGUGGCAUGAUGAAAAUGAAGUGUUAAAACAAGGACUGCAGUAUUGUUUAUUCCAGCAAAUGGUGAGUGGUCCAUCCUUCUCCAAGCCCUUUCUCUUCUUCUUCUCAUGGUCUCUGGCAUCUGGGAGAGUCCACGUGGCCUGGGUUGGGCUAACAGAUACCAGCAGAAGUGAUGCGUACAACUUCCGGCAACCUAGGUGCACUUGUCUCGCCCUCCCUGGGAGCAGAUCCAUCCUCAAACCUGCAGACAAGGAUAAUGCUGUAGUGGGUACUGAGAAAAAAAAAAAAAAAAAAAAGAAGGAACCUAAAGGAAAUGUUGGAGCAGAAAUACAUUUCUAUCUUAUUCAAGCUGGUAUAUUUUGGACUUCUGUUGCUACAACAGUUUCAUCUUUAUCCUAACGAAUACCCAUACAUGUAUUAGUAAAAAUAUAAAGGUGUCCAGGGAAUAAUGUCAGACUGAGGAGAAUGGGGCUUGGGGGAAGACGGGUGGCAAGAGGAUGUGUAAGGAAUACACAGUUGUAUCUGCAAAAUGUUUUCACUCUUAAGUUCAGUGGCAAACUAACGGAUGUUCUUUAUAUUAUUCUCUAUGCUUUUUUCAAUAUCUGAUUUAUUUUGCUUUAAAAAUCUAUACUAAUAGUGGAUGAGAAAAUAAAUGUCAUAGAAGGGG
rnacentral:lncRNA from 1 species